UACGUAGGGGGCAAGCGUUGUCCGGAAUUAUUGGGCGUAAAGAGCGUGUAGGCGGUCCGGUAAGUCAGCUGUGAAAGUCAAGGGCUCAACCCUUGAAAGCCGGUUGAUACUGUCGGGCUAGAGUCCGGAAGAGGCGAGUGGAAUUCCCGGUGUAGCGGUGAAAUGCGCAGAUAUCGGGAGGAACACCAAUGGCGAAGGCAGCUCGCUGGGACGGUACUGGACGCUGAGACGCGAAAGCGUGGGGAGCAAACAGGG
rnacentral:rRNA from 1 species